rnacentral:lncRNA from 1 species
AAAGACAGCUUCACGCUGAAGUGGCGGCGCCCUGAGGAGACUGGAGGCGAUGAUGAUGUCACUUACACCGUGCGAUACCGCGUGGAGAAAGAUAACAAGAAAGGCCCGUGGAUAACAUACACUACGAAAGGACUAGAGUAUGACUUCAGCGAUCUGGACAACAAAGUCCAGUACAAGUUUGAGGUGAUCGCCACAAACAAAGGAGGAGAAAGCUUGCCUGGAGAGAGAUACAUCCAGACAAACUUCCCAGGAGAACGCAGUUUAGAGUCCCGCCUCCUGUCCAGUGUCGUUCUAACCCUUUUUGCUGGAGGGUUUCUUCUGCUGCUUUGACAUCAUGAACGCUGAAUGCAAACAAACGCUUCAUCGUAAGAGACUUUCCGCAAGGACAUUUGAACGAAAUAGAUUUUGUAAUACAUUUAUUAUAAGAGACAUUGAGGGCGCACUGAUUUAUACAACUACCAUACUUGAACCCAAUAUUACGCUGAAUAUUAGGCUUUCGGGCCUGUCAGGUAGCUUUUUCGAACCGAAUCUGAGUCCGCAGUUGUCGUUUCUGGUCAGUGAAAUUGCUAGGAAACCACUGACUUCUUUUCUGGCCAAUCUAACGCGUGAAUAUUUGCAUAACUGGCCGAGUUUGAUUUGAUGAUAGGUCAAGGUUCCCCCGUUUGAAAUGGUACUAGCUCCUUAAACAGAACUCGUCCAACUUAAUUCGAGUAAAUUUAAUGCUAGUGUUCCUUAGUGUGAUGAAAUAAUAUAUAAUCAUGUCAACGUUAAGCGCGUGGUUUUCUAUCCAUUGUUGGUGCACUUGGAACUUUUUAAACGUAACAUUCUUGCCGUAUUUAAUAGGGCAUUCCUCAAGAGUGUGACGUACAUGUAGCAAACAAUUGAUACGUGUCACGCACUGUCACAUUGCGUGACGUCCAAUUGACGGAUGCGAAGGAUGUUUUCAAGGUGGAGACUUCCUAUUUUCUCGUUGCGUGAAACUGGGGUGGUGAUUUUCCUGUUUUCGAUGUAGGGAGCAAAUUUGAUGUCUAUAAACAUGAAUACUGUGACACACAAACAUGAAAUGAUUGAUAAUUUUCGUAUUCUGUGGAUACAGAAGACGUUUUGUAAGAGUGUUAGGUUUUAUAAAGCUGUGUUAGCCUUUCAGCGUGUCACCUCUCCCCACAUUGUGGAGGAGUUUUGUUUAGCAUAUUAUAGUAACCUACCUUGAAGAUGUAAUGUUGUCUUAGUUUAAGUAAGGCUAAUUAAGUAAAUAAAUAAAUAGAGUUCUGUAAACAGGGUCGGUUAAUUUUAAAAUCAGUCCUAGGGCUUUAAUGAUGAACAAGCCAUGUUUUGAAAAUUCUCCCUCCGAAAGCGAUCAAGACCAUUGUUAUACAGAGUGAAGAAUGCGUGACGACGAAAAAAGAACUUAGGGUUAGUUUUCAGAUUUUUUUUACAUACACCAGUUUCUUUGGUGUUACACAUUAGUAAUAAAAGAUUACUUUCAUGUUUAAGUUGCUUUAAACGCUGCUUAAAUUUUACUUGUCAAAUAACAUGUAUAUAUACAAUGCAAGACAUGGUAAUUUCUCUGUAGCAAAGGAAUAUAAUAAAAUAGUCCUGGUUAAUGAA